UGGGGAAUAUUGCGCAAUGGGCGAAAGCCUGACGCAGCGACGCCGCGUGAGGGAUGAAGGUUUUCGGAUCGUAAACCUCUGUCAGAAGGGGAGAAACCGCACUGUGCUAAUCAGCAGUGCCUUGACGGUACCUUCAAAGGAAGCACCGGCUAACUCCGUGCCAGCAGCCGCGGUAAUACGGAGGGUGCAAGCGUUAAUCGGAAUUACUGGGCGUAAAGCGCACGUAGGCUGCUUUGUAAGUCAGGGGUGAAAUCCCACGGCUCAACCGUGGAACUGCCUUUGAUACUGCUUAGCUUGAAUCCGGGAGAGGGUGGCGGAAUUCCAGGUGUAGAAGUGAAAUCCGUAGAUAUCUGGAGGAACAUCAGUGGCGAAGGCGGCCACCUGGACCGGUAUUGACGCUGAGGUGCGAAAGCGUGGGGAGCAAACAGG
rnacentral:rRNA from 1 species